rnacentral:rRNA from 1 species
UGGGGAAUAUUGCGCAAUGGGGGGAACCCUGACGCAGCCAUGCCGCGUGAAUGAAGAAGGCCUUAGGGUUGUAAAGUUCUUUCGGUAUUGAGGAAGGUUGAUGUGUUAAUAGCACAUCAAAUUGACGUUAAAUACAGAAGAAGCACCGGCUAACUCCGUGCCAGCAGCCGCGGUAAUACGGAGGGUGCGAGCGUUAAUCGGAAUAACUGGGCGUAAAGGGCACGCAGGCGGUUAUUUAAGUGAGGUGUGAAAGCCCCGAGCUUAACCUGGGAAUUGCAUUUCAGACUGGGUAACUAGAGUACUUUAGGGAGGGGUAGAAUUCCACGUGUAGCGGUGAAAUGCGUAGAGAUGUGGAGGAAUACCGAAGGCGAAGGCAGCCCCUUGGGAAUGUACUGACGCUCAUGUGCGAAAGCGUGGGGAGCAAACAGGAUUAGAUACCCUGGUAGUCCACGCUGUAAACGCUGUCGAUUUGGGGGUUGGGGUUUAACUCUGGCGCCCGUAGCUAACGUGAUAAAUCGACCGCCUGGGGAGUACGGCCGCAAGGUUA